CGCAGCGCUAUAUUCGCCCACAACUUCAGUUCGGUCAACUUCGUCAUUUAGUGGUGACCGAAACUUCGACGUGUGUGGUAGUGAAGUUAACUUUUCUAACAUAGUACUCUCACAAAAUAACAAUACUAAAGUACAAUCACCAAUUGAUCGUGUUCUUUACAAACAUUUAACGUGGCAUAAGUUGUAUAAAUAGUAAUCAAAAUGUGUGAUAAUACCAAUCCUUCGACACAAAGUAUAGCGGACUACUUAGCUCAGUUGCUCAAAGACAGGAAGCAACUGGCUGCCUUCCCGAAUGUUUUCAUGCACAUGGAACGACUUCUGGAUGAAGAAAUAGCAAAAGUACGAGCCAGUUUAUUCCAAAUAAAUGGAGUCAAGAAAGAACCUUUAGUUCUACCAGAAGCAGAAGGCAUGGUCACCACACUAACAGAAAAAGUAUAUGUACCAGUAAAAGAACAUCCAGAUUUCAACUUUGUGGGAAGGAUUCUUGGACCCAGAGGUAUGACGGCAAAACAGUUAGAACAAGAAACUGGAUGCAAAAUUAUGGUCAGGGGCAAAGGAUCUAUGAGGGAUAAGAAAAAGGAGGAUGCGAACAGGGGGAAGCCAAAUUGGGAGCAUCUGGCUGACGACUUACACGUCCUGCUCACAGUCGAAGACACGGAGAAUCGGGCGAAGAUAAAGUUGGCCAGAGCCGUUGAAGAAGUCAAACGCCUUCUAAUUCCUCAAGCGGACGGUGAAGAUGAAUUAAAGAAACGCCAGCUCAUGGAACUGGCCAUCAUAAACGGCACAUACCGGGAUUCUACCACGAAAGCCGUCGUGCCCGUCAACGCCAUUGAUAAUGACGAGGGAUCCACAGCUGAUGAAGAAUGGAGACGCGUCGCUGCAGAAACUCAGCGGCUGCUUGGGCCAGGGGGCGGAGUGGGCAGUGUGGCUUUGCGUAACCCCGCGCCGCUCGGUGCUCCGCUGAUACUGUCCCCGCGCAUGUCUGCAGCCCCCGGGGCCCAGGCGGGACUACUGAACGGAACGGGGGCUGGCGCCGCAGCAGGCCUCCUGUCCCCUGGCGAACCCUCGCACCAGCUGAUCUACGCGUCGCCGUACGCAGACUACGCCAACUACGCGGCGCUGACGGGCAAUCCGCUUCUCACUGAAGCGUACGCCGCCGCUGACCAUACGGCGUCGAGAUACCUACUUGCUGGCUUUUGACAUUGGCCACAAAUGCAGACCACCAUAAGAUACGGCAGGCUUCCAACUUCACCGUUUCGGCCUUCGCAUCAUUUUUAGGACCCAGCAUUUAGUAGGCGAAAACAACCUUGCCACAGACUAACUAUUAUAAACGUAUAACUUUUUUUUACUAGUCUCACCGUUAGUCUCAUAUUUAAAAAAAAAGUAAAGACAGAAUCGGCUAACUUUGAUACUUAUCUAAACAAAAACUUUUUUUUUAUAUUUAAAUUUUAAUAGAAUAAUAUGUUUGCAAACCUAGACUUCAUAAAUUAAUUAAUUAAUUGCUUAGUUAAAAAUAGACUUUGUCAAGGUUAUUUUUAUGCGUGCUGGCUGGGUCUUCCGUCCCUGACAGAUUUUCACACGCCUCUUAUAAAGUCAUAAGAGCUAUUAACGUAGUUUAAGUAUUAAAAUAAGGACGAUUUAGUUUAGUAACUCGAACAUUAUUGUACCUACGUUAUGUUUUUAAUUUUAAAAACCGACUUUGUUUUUUCUCUUUAGCUGUUUUGUACAGUCAUACAAAGUAUAUUUUGUUUCCGAACGAACAAAGAUUUAUUUAUUAUUAUCAUAAAUUAUUAUUUUAAUCAAAUAUUUAUUGCAAAUUUUAUUUUACCGUUGUAAUAGUAUUUUAUAUUAUGGCAGUUGGUGAUUUACGUAAACGAUAUCGAGUAUCGAGUAUAGAGAGCACUUUUGCAACUGCCAGUUAAUUUCUCUAGUUACCGAUAUUACACAUACAAUUAGGUAAUUAGUAGUUUGGAUUAUAUUAUUAUGCAGUAAAUAUUUAUUUAUAUUUUAUUACCUACAACACUCUAUAGUUGCAUCGAACAAAACACCAUUCUCUAUUGUGAUAACCCUCGCUUGUAAUACCACUAAUCUAUUAACAAAAUGUGUCCACACAUAACGUUAUAUUUUGGAUCGUCGUCGUAUAAAAAUAACAAAGUUAUAUAUCUACACACAUAACGCGCAUGCAUUGUGAUCUGAUCCUUGUUAGAUUUUUCCGUAUGUGAUUAACAUAAAGUGUUAUUUUUUUUAUUAACACUUAAAACUUCUGAAUAACAAUAUUGUUCAGACAAACAAUCCAGUGAUUACAAGCAAAAGGGACCAAAUAAAAAAUAGAUUUUUUACAACAAACAACACAAAUGUUAUAUUUUAACUAAGCAUUAACAACACUGACUACUAAAAAUAUUACAACCAUUUAAAUUGUAGACAUGAAAAACAACAUUCUAGACAAAUACAAAUUUUCCACAUUAUAACGAUAGCGUAACAUUAUUUUUAAAAUAACUAAAAGCAUGCGAACGAAAAUGUUAUAUUAUUGUAAUAACAUUUAAGUCGUAAUUUAUUAAUUUAUUAGCCAUAAUAUUAUUAUAUUUAUGAACAUACCAUAGGAUUAAGUAUUAUUUUUAUCUUUUAAAGAUUUAGUUUAGGAAAGAGUGAGCUUUAUGAAAAGAACAUUAAUCAGCCGUUAAGUAUAGGUAUUAACUAUACUGUAUAGGUAUAUUCACAAAUAUUUUUGUCCAAAUCAUAUUAUUUAAAACAGACUUUCACUUGUACCUUGAGCGGCUGUAUAAAUACCUGAGAUAUUAAUGUUUUAUUUUGUCUUUCCAAAGCAAUACAAUUUAUUAUUGGUAAAUUCUAGGCGUUAGGUAUGCAUAAUAAUAGUAUAAAUUAGUCAUACUGCCAAAACUACUCGUCGUUAAAUAUUAAAUAAUACGAACACAAUAUGUUGGCAGUAUUUUUCAUUAUGUAUCUUGCAAAUCAAAGGUACUAUGAUUAAACUAAUGAGAUUAAAUUUCUUUUCAGCAUUUAUUUUUAUCGGCUACCCAGGUUGUUAGAUAUAUCGAUUUAGAAUGCAGAUUAUUUAAAAUCAAACCUUUUUUUCAAACUUUCUCUUCAUUCCUUUACUAACAUUAUUUUAAUUUGUUUAGCUAUUUGGAUUUUUAAUGUAGCCUGGGCAUGCCAUUGGAUGCCUAUUGGUUGGAAGUUUAUAGUGCUGUAUUCAGACACAGAUGAUAAUGUCCUAUGCCGCUAGGUCUCGUGCGGCGGGCGGGUCGGCUGGCGCAAGUGAGGGAGCACCCUUACCAGCGCACUGCCUUACCAGCGCCUUAAUUCCCGCGAAACGCUCUCACGCCGCCAUUUUGUUCACAAGGUGCGUGCUAACGGCGCCGGGGCACUAACAGGAGCCGCGGCCGGCGCCCGCACCGGACCCUAUGUCGCCGCGUAACAUUCUCAUCGGAACAUCGCCGCCAUGUAGCUAUAGCUGUUGGGCCUUUCACGUUAACAUGUACUAUGUAUUUUAAUAGUCUAACUAUUAACAUUUAUAUGCCUGUUAUGUUUAUAACAAGAUGAUCUUUAUUAACAUUUUAUAUUAUUUUUAGUGGCACACGCCAUCGACUAUAUUUACUGUAUUGUAACAUUGUACUUCUGUUGUCGCUUGACCAUGUUGUUGUUGAAGCACGAGUGUUAGUUAGGUUACCCUACCUACGGCGGCGCUAAAUUUAUUUAACGUACGUUUAGUGUUUAGUUAUUUAUUAGAUCUAGAUAUUAUAUUUAUAUAAUAUAGUUUCUCGAAAUAUUUAAAAGUAUCAUUUAAAUCGAUCAAUAAUCAAAUUUGGCGCCGUUAUUUUACAUAUUUAGAGAAGUUGAUAGAUUUUCAAAAAUCUAAAUUCUUAUUAAAUUGACUCAGUUCGGUAGACAUAAAUGAAUUUUAUAAAAGUAUAGUUAGCUGACUGCUAUCUGAAUGCAUGAUAAUUAUUAUAUGUAGCACAGAAUUUGGGUAAGUUUUUUUCCCUUCACAGUUUUUAUAUGAAUUGUAAAAUGAGUAUAGUACAAAUUACAUAAAUGAUGGAAUACGAGAGGUGAGAAAUUCGCAUCUUCAGAUAAUCAUCUUGAGAGGAAGGAUAGCGGUUACUAAAUGUAAGUAUGAAUUCAAAAAUUUUAUAGAUCGAUAUUUCAUUAUUAGACUGUUACGAUCAAGAUGUGGUAGUGUAAUAUAAAUUAUAAUAUGUUCAUUUACUCAUCAAUUCCACCCACAAUUUUGGCAACACAUUGCAACUUUAUGCCAAAGAGUAUACUGUACGUUUGACGCAGUAAUUUUUCAGAUCUUUUACUGAACAAAAAUUUAAAAUGUCUUCCUUAGAGGGUACUUUUAUACUAUCUACAUUGCUAGAAAUAUUGACAAAACGUUCGGUAUUUUUUAACCCCGACGUAAACAGGUGUUAGAUAUAAGAUUGACCGUUUCGUGUCUAUGGCAUCGUAACGCUCAAACGGAUGGACCGAUUUGAAUGCUGUUUUUUAUUCGAAAGCCUGUUUAAUCGAGAUGGUUUUAAGCUAUAUUUAAUGAAAAAAUGUUCAGCCGUUUGAGGAUUAUCAGCUCGUUUUUUAAGCCUGUUUAGGGAUCUUGUUUAUAAAGAAUGAAAUCUGGUUUAUAAUAGGUGCGUGCACUUAUUUUAUCAACUCGAUCCCGACUACACUGCAGUAUGCUAACCUUGACUUGAUUCUGCAACCUGGAUAGUCUGCAAACUAUCUCUCUUUGAAAACUUACAGCAGAUUUUUCGCAUGAUUUGGUCUUGAAAUUGGUUUAAAAGUAGCGACCAGGGUCUUUUGAUGGGGCUGGAAUAUGGUUACAAGGUGAUGGUGUGAGAGGAUGAGAGUUGACGUAAAUAUCUAGGAAUUAAACCUUGCUAGCCAUCUCUCGCCUACGAGCCGUCUCAAGUAGAGCCGGGUAAAGUAGAUAGAAUAAAAGUGACCACGCACGAUAUAUUUGAUGAGUAAAUGAUAUGAAUUUGUGUUUAUUUUUAGCUGAUAUAAAGAUUUAAAAGUAGUUAAUCAUUAUAUUUUAUACUUUGUAGUGCUUAUUAUUUAUACAUAACAAAUCAAAUAUUGCGCAUCCCAAGUGCCUUAAUAAUGUACAAUGUUUUCACUUUUGUGGUUCUAUAAAAAACUGUUAAUAUUGAUUUUAUUUAAUGGUAAAGUUAGAAGAGAUUAAAUUAUUGUUAACUUUGCUAUGUUAAUGUUUAUACUAUUUGAGGAAUUCUCGAUGAAGUAGCUUAUUAUAUAGUUUAUUGGCGUUAAAAAAUAGCGUUCUCUUGCUCUGCUAUCUGACCAAAGACUUGACCGUGGAUCAUAACGCUGAAAAUAAAGCUUAGUUUUAAAUUUUAUAUAAAUAACGAUAAGGUCAGAACUUACAUCGAAGAGUCUAUUUUCUCAACGCGAAUGAGCUAUAAAUCAUCAUAAUUUAUAAGUUUAGUAGAUUGAGUAGUUUUGAAAGUAUAUUAUAAUUAUUAUUAUUAUUAUUAUAAGCCUUUGUUGCAAUCUCGAGAGAGAAUCUCUUGUAGUUACAAACCGAAUAUAUCAUAGAAGUAUUUGCUUACAACUCUAUCAUUUAGAUUUUUUGAGAGUUAUACUUAUUUGGAUCUGUAUAAUGAAAAUAUACCUGCUUGUCGAAAGUUAUUUGGUCAGCCCAAUCAGCUUCAAGAUAAUUUUGCAUUGGACAAUGGUCUAAUAAGGCGCCAUAGGAAGGGCUCACCCGAUAAUUCGCGAUGUAGGGUAAGUAAAUUAUUAUUGAAAGCAUUAAUAAUACAUAAGAUUUUUAGUAAAACAAAUCGACUUUUAUACUUAUAUUAUCGCAGAGUUAGUAUAGCAAUCGCAACUGUGGCAAUUAUUUUCGUAUAUAAUAUGUAGUUAAUUGUUAUGUACAUAGCUAACAUAAUAAUAUUGUUAAAAGCAAUAAUAUUUCAAUAAUAUACUAUUUUAACGCUAGUGCAAUAGAUGUUAUUUAAAAUUGAUAUUUUAUAGAGAAUUUUCAACUCACUAUCUAUUACCUUACGUUUGAGUGAAAAUAAAAUAUUUUUUGCGAGAUCUGACGUUGAGAUUAAUGAAAUAUUAUAAGAAGCGUUUAAUCGUCCUAUAAUCUUUAAAACAAAAAAAAAAUUAACAUUAAAGUUUAUUUAGAAUUAAGCAAAAUUAAAAAAAAAAAUUACUCAACAACGUGAAUCAAAUUGGCGUGCAUCGCCUUAAAAAACUCAUUGUUUAUUUGAACAAAAAUAUACAGUUUUCAGAACAUCGGCAGAAGUUUAAAUCAAAUAUUUUUUAAGAUUUUUUUAUUUACAACAUGAAAUUUAAUUGUAUGAAAAUUUUAAAAUCCGUGAAGUUGUUAACACACUCCGUCCAUGAUUACUUCAUAAUUUAAGUACUUAAUAUGUUGGUCUCUUUGUAUGACCGUAAAUACACAUCUGUGUUAACAUUUUUUUGAAUCUAUUAUCUUCUCUCGCAAUACCUAAUAAUCACCCCAAGCCACCCCUUUUUCUCACGACUGCUCAAAAAAGAAGUGUAAUGUUUUUAGGUUUCAUAUUGUGUCUAUAUAUGAGAGUUUCUUGAUACCUAUAUUAACUUCUAAAUGCCUUUAAAUCAAUAUGGCGACUGUAUGGCGCUAUUUUCAAAAAUGUGAAAAUUUUUACGUUUUAUUUCGUUUUUUGGGAGGGCGGUCGUGUUUUUUAAUUUUUUUACUACCUACAACUUUUUUAUCGGUUCGAUAUUAAGGUGCGACAAGGUAAAUUACUUUUUGCCUCUUCAUUUUCAUUAAGGAUGAAUUAUUUUUAUUAAAAACAUUACUUACUAUGAUUUUUUUCUUUGAAAACGAUUUCUCUUUUUGAAAAAUCUCAGAACGUUGUGCGUUUAUCCAACUAAUUUUCUUCUUGAUGAUCUGAUUUUUUCCUUAAACAUCCACCAUACUUUAUUAUGGUUAUAGAUUAUAGCAAUAACUACGAAUAUGAAUUAAAACGUGGACAUAAAUAACACACGAUUAAAAUGGCUAUUAAUUUUUUGAAUUAAAUAAAAACAUAAAAUCCAAAAAAAAAUAUGUAAUUUUUAAGUCCGUUUUUUAAUUCUUAGCUGUAUUUUGUACAAAACUGAAUAGUAAGAAAAAGCAUUUACAAAAUAACUUGAGGCCAUAGCUUUGGAUGAAAACUCAACAAGGUCUAACCCGAAGGUUAAUAAUUACGCGACACUCUUGGAAUCAUAGACCAUAAAAAGUUAAGUAAUAUUCUAAGGAUCUGACAUGUGAGUCAAGCUAUUGUAAUUUUUAAUUUUCAAAUAAUGAAUUGAACAUCUGUAAAAAUCAAUCAAUGUUGUUUUGAUUGCAAGUGUGUUGCGCAAUUACACCCUUAAAUAACAAUAGUUGAUUGUGAUUAAAAGCUAAUAACGUACAAAGAUUGUGAGGGUCUGUUAUCUGUUAAUAGUUAUUUUACGUUGUUUCAAAACGAAUACUUUGCGUAAUGAGUUUCGUGGAACCAUAAACAAAUAGUGAGCUGUUAAAUUUUAAGAUGGCUGCCAUUUCUUAAUUUAAUUAUGUGAAAUAGUUUAAAAAUAAUUCUGAAUAUCCUUUUGAAUAUUCAAAUUCAAGAACAGUUUAUAGUGGUGUCUCCACCAUUGACCUAUUAUGAACUAGUAAUAAUAGAUCAAUGGCCUACACUCAUUAAAAUAUUAUCUACGUUUAAAAAAUAUAAAUAUUUAUUACCUAUGGGUUUCUUCUUUAUGGCUGAGUCUGACUCGCUUUUGUCUGGUUUUUAGUUUUAUUAAAGUGAUCAGCCAUCUUUCCUAAUCUACGUUUAGCCACUAAUGAAUUAUGCGGUUCAUUCAUUGUUUAUGUUUGAAACAUUUUUGUGCCAUCAUCAGACGGACUUUCAUGUUAUUUUUUAUUUGUACUUAUACUUUAAAAAUGGCAAAUCACACAAGUGCCUUAAAAUUAACUUUGUAAAUAUUUUAUAUACCUAUUAUUAAUUUUUUCAAAGUAUUAUAUAAAGGAGAAUAAAUUCUUACGAUUGUUUUCCAAAAACAAAAUAGAGUAUAUCUACUUUUAUAGUUUAGUUAAGUGAGAUUGUGCAUAUUACUUAUGUCUGUUUUGAUGUGUGUUUAAGAUUGAUUUGGCAUUAGUAAAUAUAUUAUUUAGAAAAUGUA